rnacentral:rRNA from 2 species
CGCCAACGAGUGGCGGACGGGUGAGUAACACGUAGGUAACCUGCCCAGAAGCGGGGGACAACAUUUGGAAACAGAUGCUAAUACCGCAUAACAGCGUUGUUCGCAUGAACAACGCUUAAAAGAUGGCUUCUCGCUAUCACUUCUGGAUGGACCUGCGGUGCAUUAGCUUGUUGGUGGGGUAACGGCCUACCAAGGCGAUGAUGCAUAGCCGAGUUGAGAGACUGAUCGGCCACAAUGGGACUGAGACACGGCCCAUACUCCUACGGGAGGCAGCAGUAGGGAAUCUUCCACAAUGGGCGCAAGCCUGAUGGAGCAACACCGCGUGAGUGAAGAAGGGUUUCGGCUCGUAAAGCUCUGUUGUUAAAGAAGAACACGUAUGAGAGUAACUGUUCAUACGUUGACGGUAUUUAACCAGAAAGUCACGGCUAACUACGUGCCAGCAGCCGCGGUAAUACGUAGGUGGCAAGCGUUAUCCGGAUUUAUUGGGCGUAAAGAGAGUGCAGGCGGUUUUCUAAGUCUGAUGUGAAAGCCUUCGGCUUAACCGGAGAAGUGCAUCGGAAACUGGAUAACUUGAGUGCAGAAGAGGGUAGUGGAACUCCAUGUGUAGCGGUGGAAUGCGUAGAUAUAUGGAAGAACACCAGUGGCGAAGGCGGCUACCUGGUCUGCAACUGACGCUGAGACUCGAAAGCAUGGGUAGCGAACAGGAUUAGAUACCCUGGUAGUCCAUGCCGUAAACGAUGAGUGCUAGGUGUUGGAGGGUUUCCGCCCUUCAGUGCCGGAGCUAACGCAUUAAGCACUCCGCCUGGGGAGUACGACCGCAAGGUUGAAACUCAAAGGAAUUGACGGGGGCCCGCACAAGCGGUGGAGCAUGUGGUUUAAUUCGAAGCUACGCGAAGAACCUUACCAGGUCUUGACAUCUUGCGCCAACCCUAGAGAUAGGGCGUUUCCUUCGGGAACGCAAUGACAGGUGGUGCAUGGUCGUCGUCAGCUCGUGUCGUGAGAUGUUGGGUUAAGUCCCGCAACGAGCGCAACCCUUGUUACUAGUUGCCAGCAUUAAGUUGGGCACUCUAGUGAGACUGCCGGUGACAAACCGGAGGAAGGUGGGGACGACGUCAGAUCAUCAUGCCCCUUAUGACCUGGGCUACACACGUGCUACAAUGGACGGUACAACGAGUCGCGAACUCGCGAGGGCAAGCAAAUCUCUUAAAACCGUUCUCAGUUCGGACUGCAGGCUGCAACUCGCCUGCACGAAGUCGGAAUCGCUAGUAAUCGCGGAUCAGCAUGCCGCGGUGAAUACGUUCCCGGGCCUUGUACACACCGCCCGUCACACCAUGAGAGUUUGUAACACCCAAAGUCGGUGGGGUAACCUUUUAGGAGCCAGCCGCCUAAG